rnacentral:rRNA from 1 species
CGCGGCGGCACGCUUAACACAUGCAAGUCGAACGCAGUAGCAAUACUGAGUGGCGAACGGGUGAGUAUAAUGUGGGUAUCUGCCUUUUGGUUUGGAAUAACACGAGGAAACUUGUGCUAAUACCGAAUAAGCCCUUACGGGGAAAGUUUUAACGCCGAAAGAUGAGCCCGCACUUGAUUAGCUAGUUGGUAAGGUAAUGGCUUACCAAGGCUACGAUCAAUAGCUGAUCUGAGAGGAUGAUCAGCCACAUUGGGACUGAGACACGGCCCAAACUCCUACGGGAGGCAGCAGUGGGGAAUCUUGCACAAUGGGGGAAACCCUGAUGCAGCGAUGCCGCGUGAGUGAAGAAGGCCUUUGGGUUGUAAAGCUCUUUCGUCGGGGAAGAAAAUGACUGUACCCGAAUAAGAAGGUCCGGCUAACUUCGUGCCAGCAGCCGCGGUAAUACGAAGGGACCUAGCGUAGUUCGGAAUUACUGGGCUUAAAGAGCACGUAGGUGGUUGAGAAAGUUGGUGGUGAAAUCCCAAGGCUUAACCUUGGAACUGCCAUCAAAACUUUUUAACUAGAGUAUGAUAGAGGUAAGCGGAAUUUCUAGUGUAGAGGUGAAAUUCGUAGAUAUUAGAAAGAACACCAAUUGCGAAGGCAGCUUUCUGGAUCAUUACUGACACUGAGGUGCGAAAGCAUGGGUAGCGAAGAGGAUUAGAUACCCUCGUAGUCCAUGCUGUAAACGAUGUGUGCUAGACGUUGGGAAUUUAUUUCUCAGUGUCGCAGCAAAAGCGUUAAGCACACCGA